rfam:Listeria floridensis FSL S10-1187 c39, whole genome shotgun sequence.
GGCGCCAUAGCCAAGUGGUAAGGCAGAGGUCUGCAAAACCUUCAUCACCGGUUCAAAUCCGGUUGGCGCCU